GAUGAACGCUAGCGGCAGGCUCAAUACAUGCAAGUCGAGGGGUAGCAAGAUUGUAGCAAUACAAUUGUUGACGACCGGCAAACGGGUGCGGAACACGUACACAACCUUCCUUCAAGCGGGGAAUAGCCCAGAGAAAUUUGGAUUAAUAUCGCGUAACAUAGCGAUGUGGCAGCACAUGGCUAUCAUAGCUUCGGCGCUUGUUGAUGGGUGUGCGGCUGAGUAGAUAGUUGGCGGGGUAACUGCCCACCAAGUCUACGAUCAGUAGUUGAUGUGAGAGCAUGAUCAGCCACCCAGGCACUAAGACACGGGACCGACUCCUACGGGAGGCAGCAAUAAGUAAUAUUGGACAAUGUACGCAAGCCUGAUCCAGCCAUGCCGCGUGCAGGAUGACGGGCCUACGGAUUGUAAACUGCAUUUGUACAGGAAGAAACACUGGUUCGUGAACCAGCUUGACGGUACUGUAAGAAUAAGGAUCGGCUAACUCCGUGCCAGCCGCCGCCGUAAAAC
rnacentral:rRNA from 1 species